GACGAACGCUGGCGGCGUGCUUAACACAUGCAAGUCGAACGCUGAAGCUCAGCUUUUGUUGGGUGGAUGAGUGGCGAACGGGUGAGUAACACGUGAGUAACCUGCCUCCUUCUUUGGGAUAACGCCCGGAAACGGGUGCUAAUACUGGAUAUUCACUGGUCUUCGCAUGGGGGUUGGUGGAAAGGGUUUUUCUGGUGGGGGAUGGGCUCGCGGCCUAUCAGCUUGGUGGGGGGGGGAUGGCCUACCAAGGCUUUGACGGGUAGCCGGUAUGAGAGGGUGACCGGUAACAUUGGGACGGAGCAGCGGCCCAGACGACGCAGGGAGGCAGAAGUGGGGAAUAUUGCACAAUGGGCGCAAGCCUGAUGCAGCGACGCUGAGUGAGGGAUGGAGGCCUUAGGGUUGUGAACCUCUUUCGCUCAUGGUCAAGCCGCAACAAUGGUUGUGGUGAGGGUAGUGGGUAAAGAAGCGCCGGCUAACUACGUG
rnacentral:rRNA from 1 species